CCUCGGGGGGCAGCAAUUAGGAAUCUUGCGCAAUGGGGGCAACCCUGACGCAGCGACACAGUGUGGAGGAGGAAGGUAUUAGGAUUGUAAACUCCUUUUAUGAGGGAAGAAUAGAUGACGGUACCUCAUGAAUAAGCACCUGCUAACUACGUGCCAGAAGCAUCGGUGAUGCGUAGGGUGCGAACGUUAUCCGGAUUUAUUGGGCGUAUAGAGAAGCGUAGGUGUGUUUGUAAGUCUUUAGUUAAAUACCACGGCUCAACCGUGGAGAAGCUUUGGAAACUACAGAAAUUGAGAAAGGAAUGGGCGAAUGGAAUUCCCAGUGGAGCGGUGAAAUGCGUUGAUAUUGGGAGGAACAUCAGUGGCGAAGGCGAUUCGCUGGUCCUUGUCUGACACUAAGGCUCGAAAGCGUGGGGAGCGAAAC
rnacentral:rRNA from 1 species